rnacentral:lncRNA from 1 species
GGACUUUGUGGAUCAAAUCCAUGUUUCUUGCAGAAGUUGGUCUGUGCCAAAGUCAUGGUCAGUGUAGCAUAUGGAUUCUCCUGCAGGUUGCUCACGGAGAGCUGCAGCGGGCUCAGGUAGAAAUAGGGCACGCCGCUGCCCGCGCCCGGGGGCCCGUCGCUGAGCGAGAGGACGUCGGCGAAGGGCCGGCCGCGCACCGCCUCCAGCGUGGAGAUGGUGGCCAGAGCGCCCCAGUCGGAGACGUGCGUCACGAAGCGGGCCACGCGCGCCGCGUCCUCGCGGGGUGGUAGCGGCGGCAGCCGGGAGGCCUCGUCCCAGUCCCCGUGGUCCCGGCCGCCGCGACCCCGCGCGGGCGACACGAGCAGCGCCAACAGCGUCGACGCCAGCAGGGCGGCGAGCAGUGCGCGCGCGGACCCGCGGGAUAGCCCGGCCAUGGCGGUGUCUC